AUGUUCGAAGCUCACGUCCUGCAUUUGCUUAGAAGGUAUUUGGGGGAAUAUGUCGAAGGACUUUCUGUUGAAGCCUUAAGAAUAAGUGUCUGGAAAGGUGAUGUUGUUCUCAAAGAUUUGAAAUUAAAGGCAGAGGCCCUAAAUUCACUAAAACUUCCGGUCACUGUGAAAGCUGGUUUUAUAGGUACCAUUACAUUAAAGGUUCCAUGGAAAAGUUUGGGCAAAGAACCUGUGAUUGUUCUCAUUGACCGUGUAUUCAUCCUUGCUCAUCCUGUUACUGAUGGCAGCACUCUCAAGGAGGACAGGGACAAACUAUUUGAAGCUAAACUUCAAGAGAUUGAGGAAGCAGAGUCGGCAACUCUGGAAGCAAUAUCAAAGUCAAAGAUAGGAAGUCAAUCUAAUGGAAAUUCAUGGCUAGGUUCCCUUAUUGCUACUAUUAUUGGGAAUCUAAAGAUAUCAAUUAGCAAUGUACAUAUAAGAUAUGAGGAUUCGGUCAGGUUAUUGUCGUAUCGUGUGUCUGCUUCUGCUCUUAAAGCCCUUUUUCUUCUUUCUUUUUUCGAUAGUAAUCCAGGACAUCCUUUUAGUUCGGGUGCCACUUUAGCCAAGCUUGCUGCUGUUACCAUGGAUGAGGAAGGGAAGGAGACAUUUGAUACCAGUGGUGCUCUUGAUAAGUUGCGAAAGUCAUUGCAACUAGAGAGACUUGCUAUGUAUCAUGAUUCUGAUAGUGUACCUUGGAAGACAAUUAAGGGAUGGGAGGAACUCGCUCCGGAGGAAUGGGUCGAGAUUUUUGAAGAAGGAAUACGCGAACCUGCGGAUGACCAUGCAAUGACGUCUAAGUGGGCUAUGAAUCGCAAGUAUUUGGUGUCACCUAUAAAUGGUGUUUUAAAGUAUCACCGUGUAGGAAACCAAGAAAGAAAUGAUCCAGAGGUUCCAUUUGAGAACGCUUCCCUUGUCCUAAGUGACGUUUCCUUGACAGUAACAGAGGCUCAAUAUCGUGAUUGGAUAAAGCUUUUGGAAGUUGUUUCAAGAUACAAGAGAUAUGUUGAAUUUGCUCAUCUGAGGCCAGCGCUACCAGUAUCAGAGGGUCCAUAUUUGUGGUGGCGUUAUGCUUCUCAAGCAGGACUUCAGCAGAAGAAAUUGUGGUAUUAUAUAUGUUACUGAUUAUAUGCUGGUUUCUUACAACACCUGACAAAUGUUGAUAAUGCUGAAAUUAGAGAAAUUGAGAAAGAUUUGGAUUCUAAAGUAAUUCUUCUGUGGAGGUUACUUGCGCAUGCAAAGGUGGAAUCUGUAAAAUCGAAGGAAGCGGCUGAACAGAGGAUGCUCCAGAAGAAAAGCUGGUUUUCUUUUAGAUGGAGAACACCUGAUGAAUCUGCUGAAAUUUCCGAGGGUUCACAGUCUCCAGAAGAAAGACUGACUAAAGAGGAGUGGCAAGCAAUAAAUAAGUUACUGAGUAACCAGCCAGAUGAAACAUUGGCAUCCCACUCAGGGAAGGAUAUGCAGAAUAUGAUCCGGUUUAUGGUAACUGUGUCUGUUAAUCAGGCUGCUGCUAGGAUUGUAGAUAUAAAUCAGACCGAGAUUCUGUGUUGUAAGUUUGAGCAACUUCAAGUGUCAACGAAGUUUAAACAUCAAAGUACAUACUGUGAUGUGUCAUUGAGAUUCUAUGGUCUAUAUGCACCUGAAGGGUCGCUUGCUCAGAGUGUAUCUAGUGAGCGGAAGGUGAAUGCACUGACUGCUAGCUUUGUAUACUCUCCAGUUGGAGAGAAUGUUGAUUGGAGGCUCUCAGCUACCACUUCACCUUGUCAUGUCACGGUUUUAAUGGAAAGUUGUGAUCGCUUUUUGGAUUUUGUGAAAAGGAGUAAUGCAGUUAGUCCUACUGUUACAUUGGAAACAGCAACUGCUUUGCAGAUGCAAAUUGAGAAUUUGACUCGGAGAGCACAAGAGCAAUUUCAAAUGGUAUUAGAAGAACAAAGCAGAUUUGCCCUUGAUAUUGAUUUGGAUGCUCCAAAAGUUAGAAUUCCUAUCAGAACCAAGGGCUCUUCCAAAUGUGAUAGCCAUUUUCUGUUGGAUCUUGGUCAUUUCACUCUGCAAACGAAGGAUACUCAGCAUGAAGAACAGAAGAAGAGCCUGUAUUCUCGUUUUUCAUAACUGGAAGAGAUAUUGCUGCAUUUUUUACGGAUUGUGGUUCUGAUCGUCAAAUUUGCACUUUAGAAUCACCUGAUUCUGAUAACCAUCCACCGGUUAGCCCGGAAAAUGUUGACAAUUUCUAUCCUCUCAUAGAUAGGUGUGGAAUGGCUCUACUCGUCGAUCAGAUCAAAGUACCUCACCCAAGUUUUCCGUCGAUGCGUGUUUCAAUUCAAGUGCCAAACCUCGGGAUGCACUUUUCACCAUCAAGAUUUCAGAGACUCAUGAAAUUAUUAAACAUAUUGUAUGGUACUCUGGAAACUGUUAGUCAGCCAGCUGUUGAUAACUUUCAAGCAGAACGUGCCCCGUGGAGUCCUGCAGAUCUUUGCACAGAUGCUAGAAUUUUAGUAUGGAAGGGGAUCGGCAAUUCUGUGGCUACAUGGCAGCCUUGUUUUCUUGUGUUGUCGGGGACAAAUAUAUUUGUUUUGGAGUCCGAGAAGUCUCAGAGUUAUCAGCGAUACUCCAGCAUGGCUGGUAGACAAGUAUGUGAGGUUCCUCGAACAAGUAUUGGUGGUUCACCAUUUUGCCUUGCUGUUAUCCACAGGGGGAUGGACACACAAAAGGCUCUGGAGUCUUCUAGUAGCUUGAUAAUUGAGUUCCGUGGGGAGGAGGAGAAGAUCGUUUGGUUGAAAGGACUAGUACAAGCAACAUAUCAAGCUUCUGCUCCCCCUUCAGUUGAUGUCUUGGGAAAAAAAAUUGAUCAUGUUGCUGAGUUCGGUGAGCCUCAGACCAGCAAUUCUAAAACAGCUGACCUUGUCAUUAAUGGGGCAUUGGUGGAGACAAAAUUAUCUAUUUAUGGAAAGAUGGGUGACAAAGAUGCUGAAGAACUUAAUGAGAAUCUGAUGCUAGAGGUUCUUGCUAGUGGGGGGCAGGUUCAUAUGAUUCGUUGGGAAGGUGACAUGACACUUAAGACAAAGCUUCACUCUUUAAAAAUCAAAGAUGAGCUUCAAGGUCGUGUCUCUACAACCCCACAGUAUUUGGCUUAUUCUGUGCUAAAGAGUGACAAUUUAGUCUCUUCCCCGGGCAUAGUUGAUUCACAUUGGAAAGAAAUGUCUGUUUUACUUCAUGAGGAGGAUGAUGCUUUCACAGAUGCUUUGCCAGAUUUUAUGUCUGUAUCAGAUGCAGGCUUUGGUUCACCACUUUCAGACACUGUCUCAUGUGUGUCAACUGAGGACAUCAAUGAUGCUGCUGGAUUCGCAUCAGCUGAAGGCUUAGUUCUUGAAAAGAAUCUUGUUAAGGCGAAGUGCAUUUCUGCUGAGGAAUUUUAUGAGACAGAGGAUAGUGACUAUUCCAAUUUCGUAUCUGUCACCUUCUCGACUCUGAGUUCUAGUUCACCUGAUUAUAAUGGUAUCGACACACAGACCGAAGAAAUUGGGCGUGUCAAAGGGUUGCUGGGUUAUGGUAAAGGUCGUGUAGUAUUCUAUUUGAACAUGAACGUGGACAGUGUAACUGUUUUUCUCAACAAGGAGGAUGCUUCUCUGCUUGCGACGUUUGUGCAAGAAAGUUUUGUGCUAGAUCUCAAGGUCCAUCCAAGUUCUCUUUCCAUCGAUGGCACCCUAGGAAAUUUUAGACUCCGUGAUAUGUCUCUUGGAGAAGAUAACUGUUGGGCUUGGCUAUGUGAUAUACGCAAUCCGGAUGUGGAAUCCCUUAUAAAGUUCAACUUCAAGUCUUACAGUGCUGAAGAUGAUGACUAUGAAGGUUAUGACUAUAGUUUGUGUGGUCGAUUUGCUGCUGUUCGUAUUGUCUUCCUUUAUAGGUUUAUUCAGGAGAUAACCGCAUACUUUAUGGAACUUGCUACCCCACAUACUGAAGAAGCAAUCAAACUUGUUGAUAAGGUUGGAGGCUUUGAGUGGCUAAUUGAGAAGUAUGAAAUUGAUGGAGCUGCAGCACUUAAGCUUGAUCUGUCACUCGAUACUCCAAUAAUCAUUGUUCCCCGGAAUUCAACAAGCAAUGAUUUCAUUCAACUUGAUCUGGGCCAGCUACAAGUCACAAAUGAAUUUAGUUGGCAUGGUUCUCCAGAAAAGGAUCCUUCUGCAGUCCACAUUGAUGUGCUUCAUGCUGAGAUUCUGGGGAUCAACAUGUCUGUAGGAAUUGAGGGUCGCAUGGGUAGAUCAAUGAUACGAGAAGGCAAAGGAUUUGAUGUUUAUGUCCGGAGAAGUUUGAGGGAUAUCUUCAAAAAAGUCCCAACAUUUUCUCUUGAAGUGAAGGUUGGCUUAUUGCACUGUGUCAUGUCUGACAAAGAAUAUAAAGUUAUUCUGGAUUGCGCAUACACGAAUUUAUGUGAAGAACCAAAGCUUCCCCCUAGUUUUCGUGGUGGAAAAUCUGAUUCAAAGGAUAAAAUUAGGCUGCUAGUCGAUAAGGUCAACACAAAUAGUCAAAUUCUGCUAUCACGGACUGUUACGAUAGUGGCAGUUCUGGUUGAUCAUGCACUGUUGGAGUUGUAUAAUUGUAUUCAUGCGGAGUCUCCUUUCGCUCAAAUUGCUCUUGAAGGUCUGUGGGUGUCGUAUCGGAUGACUUCAUUGUCUGAAACAGAUCUGUAUAUAACAAUUUCAAAAUUUUCUGUUGUUGACAUUCGCCCUGAUACAAAACCUGAAAUGCGCCUUAUGCUUGGAUCAUCCACUGAUGCCUUCAAACAAGUUUCUUCUGGAAGUUUGCCUUUUUUCUUAAAAAGGGGGAGCUUUAGGAGAACCGACUCUGAUGCUGGAUUUUAUGGGGACUCACCAAUAUCAACAAUGUUCUUAAUGGACUACAGAUGCCGCACAUCAACCCAAUUGUUUGUGAUUAGGAUUCAGCAGCCUCGAGUUCUAGUUGUAGCAGAUUUCCUUCUGGCGGUGGGCGAGUUUUUUGUUCCUGCAUUGGGGACAAUAACUGGUAGGGAGGAAGUGAUGGAUCGUAAUAAUGAUCCAAUUGGUAAAAACAGUAGCAUAGUGUUCACAGAGCCUACAUACAAACAGACAGAAGAUGUGGUGCAUUUGUCUCCAAGUAGACAGUUGGUCGCAGAUAUUUUAAGCAUCGAUGAAUAUACAUAUGAUGGUUGUGGAAAGACCAUUCACUUGAGUGAGGAAAUUGAUGCUAAAGAGCUCCAUUCAACUAGACCUCGACCAAUAAUUAUAAUUGGACAGGGAAAAAGGUUGCGGUUUAUGAAUGUCAAAAUAGAGAAUGGCUCUCUUUUGCGGAAGUAUACAUACUUAAAUAAUGAUAGCAGCUACUCAGUAUCCUUUGAGGACGGUGUUGACAUUGAGUUGCUGGAGACUUCCUCAUGUGAUGAUGAUAAGAAGAGUCUAGAAUACUUGCAUGAAUCGCCAGACUCCUCAAAUGUUUCAGAUUUUGAUAGUGAUCCAAAUAAGAUCCCAAGUUUCAGCUUUGAAACACAGGUUGUUUCUCCUGAGUUUACCUUUUACGAUGGUUCAAAGUCGUCUCUGGAUGAUUCAUUCGGUGAAAAGCUUCUCCGUGCAAAGCUGGAUUUUAGCUUCAUGUAUGCAUCUAAAGAAAAUGAUACCUGGAUUCGAGCUCUGGUGAAGGAUCUCACUAUUGAGGCUGGUUCUGGGCUUGUUGUGCUUGAUCCAGUGGAUAUAUCUGGGGGAUACACUUCCGUUAAGGACAAAACAAGCAUGUCCUUGUUAUCAACUGAUAUCUGCUUCCAUCUAUCACUAAGUGCUAUAUCUUUGAUAAGUAAUUUGCAAAGCCAGGCUACAGCGGCACUGCAAUAUGGAAAUUCAGCACCCUUGGCCCCUUGUACCAACUUUGAUCGAAUUUGGGUAUCCCCAAAAGAAAAUGGGUCCUGUUUCAACCUUACGUUUUGGAGGCCACGAGCACCUUCAAAUUAUGUUAUCUUGGGAGAUUGCGUGACAUCAAAGCCAAUUCCUCCCUCUCAGGCGGUGAUGGCAGUGAGUAAUACAUAUGGGCGUGUGUGUAAACCAACUGGUUUCAAUCUCAUAGGAUUGUUCUCUGCAAUUCAAGGAUUUACUGGGGGUGAUUCUGAUAGUAAUACAGAUUGUUCUCUUUGGAUGCCUAUAGCACCACCAGGAUACACAGCAUUGGGCUCUGUAGCAAAUAUCGGGAAUGAACCCCCACCCAAACAUAUUGUUUAUUGCAUUCGUUCUGAUCUCGUAACAUCAACAACCUUUAUAGAAUCCUUAUUCUGUUCUCCAUCAAAUCCACAAUUUACAUCUGGAUUUAGCAUCUGGCGUGUUGAGAAUGUGCUUGGAUCAUUUUAUGCUCAUUCUUCUACUGAGUGCCCUUCCGGAGACAAGUGUUGUAACCUCAAUCAUCUUCUUCUUUGGAACUCAAGUCGGCAUCGUUCUUCUGCUAAAGAAACUGCUUCAGAUCUAGCUGUUGCUGAAAACCGUGAAAGUCAGGAAAGUAGAAAUCAGUCACAUACUUCUGGAUGGGAUAUUGUCAGAUCAAUUUCGAAGGCAACUAAAUGUUAUAUGUCUACCCCUAAUUUUGAGAGAAUCUGGUGGGAAAAGGGUAGUGACAUACGCCGACCAGUCUCAAUAUGGAGACCCAUUCCUCGUCGAGGCUAUGCCAUCUUGGGUGAUUGCAUUACUGAAGGCUUAGAACCACCAGCUGUUGGCAUAAUAUUUAGAUCUGAUGAUCCUGAAAUAUCUGCGAAGCCUGUGCAAUUUACUAAAGUUGCCCAUGUGGUUGGGAAAGGUUUAGAUGAAGCUUUCUUCUGGUACCCGAUUGCUCCACCGGGUUAUGCUUCUGUAGGAUGCAUAGUCUCCAGAAUAGAUGAACCCCCAAGUGUAAAUUCAUUUUGUUGCCCUAGGAUGGAUCUUGUUAACCAAGCUAAUAUUCUUGAGGCGCCUAUUUCAAGAUCUUCAGCUUCAAAAGGUUCUCAGUGCUGGAGCAUCUGGAGAGUUGAAAAUCAGGCCUGCACUUUUCUUGCACGUGGUGAUCUGAAGAAACCAUCAAGCAGAUUGGCUUAUGCUAUCGGUGACUCCAUGAAGCCUAAGACUAGGGAAAACAUAACUGCUGAGGUGAAGCUAAGAAGCUUGUCUGUAACUGUUGUAGACAGCUUGUGUGGAAUGAUGACUCCACUAUUUGACACAACAAUUACCAAUAUCAAACUUGCAACACAUGGUCGAAUGGAGGCUAUGAAUGCAGUACUAAUUUCGUCUAUUGCUGCAUCAACCUUCAAUACACAGUUGGAAGCGUGGGAGCCGCUUGUGGAACCUUUUGAUGGAAUAUUCAAGUUUGAAACAUAUGAUACUAGUCUACAGUCGCCAUCAGAAUUUGGGAAGACGGUGCGUAUUGCCGCCACAAGUGUUGUUAAUAUAAAUGUCAGCGCUGCAAAUCUUGAAACUUUUAUAGGGACCAUUCUUUCAUGGAGAAGACAAUUGGACCUUGAACAGAAAGCAAAGAAGAUAAAUGAGGAAGCAUGUGGUCUAAAUGGUCAAGGGGAGGACCAGACUUUGUCGGCACUGGAUGAUGACGACUUUCAGACUGUGAUAGUAGAGAAUAAACUUGGCUGUGAUAUUUAUCUGAAGAAAGUCGAACAAAAUUCAGAUAUGGUGAACCAGUUACGUCAUGGUGACUCUGUCUCUCUGUGGGUUCCGCCUCCACGGUUUUCAGACAGGUUAAAUGUUGCAGAUGAAUCCAAGGAAGCUCGUUUAUAUGUUGCUAUACAAAUUCAUGAAGCUAAGGGUUUACCUAUUAUAGAUGAUGGUAAUAGCCAUAACUUCUUAUGUGCUUUGAGACUCGCUGUUGAUAGCCAGGCAGCAGAUCAACAAAAACUUUUUCCUCAAAGUGCAAGGACAAAAUGUGUCAAGCCUUCAGUUUUGAAAAAUAGUAACCUGAAUGAAGGCGCUGCUGAAUGGAAUGAACUUUUCAUAUUUGAAGUUCCUCGGAAGGGCCCAGCUAAACUGGAAGUGGAAGUGACAAACCUUGCAGCAAAAGCGGGAAAAGGUGAAGUAGUUGGUGCGCUCUCAUUUUCUGUUGGGGAAGAUGCAAAUAUGUUGAGGAAGCUAGCGUCAGUGAAGGCUCUCCAUCAAGGUCAUGAUAUUCAGAGUAUAGUAUCCUAUCCGCUAAAGGGCACGGUUCAACAUAACCAACAUGAAGACCCGGAGAAAUAUGGUUGCCUGUUGGUUUCAACUUCAUAUUUUGAGAGGACAACAACUCCAAGUCUUCAAACAGAUUUGCAGAAUGAGAAUCUAGUUGAUAGAGACAUAGGUUUCUAUAUUGGUAUGGGCCCCAAAGGUGUUUGGCAAAGCAUACGGGCGUUGCUUCCAUUGUCAGUUGUUCCAAAAUUGUUUCAAGAUGAUUAUAUUGCAUUGGAAGUUACACUGAAAAAUGGCAAGAAACAUGCUAUUUUCAGGGGUCUUGCAACAGUUGUAAAUGAGACUGAUAUUAAGCUGAAAAUUUCAGUAUGUGGUGCUUCUCGGAUUCAAGCUUAUGAUUCCUCUUCUGGAACAAGUGAAAACAUAAAUCGCCCCAGGAUUGAUGUCUCUGCCAUAAACCCUGGAGGUUCAUUUGUUUUACCUUGGAAAAGUACAGCAAGUAAUUCUGACCGAUGCUUACAAAUUUGCCCUUCUGUUGAUCAUCCUCAGCGUCCAUACUCUUGGGGUUCUGUUGUUUCGGUGGGAUCUGGUUAUGCAUCUGGAAAGGACUUGACGGUUAUGGAUCAGGUUUCACUUUCAAGAGAGUAUACUUCAAAGCAAGAAAAUAAGAUGCCUAAUGUUAGUUUCCAAUUAAAUCAGCUUGAGAAGAAAGAUAUACUUUUGUGUUGCACUAGUACAAUAAAUAAGCAACUUUGGCUUAGUGUUGGGGCAGAUGCCUCAGUGCUUCAUACUGAACUCAAUGCACCUGUUUAUGAUUGGAGAAUUUCUGUCAACUCUCCUAUGAAGUUAGAAAACAGACUUCCCUGUCCCGCUGAAUUCACAAUUUGGGAAAAGAUGAAAGAAGGAAAGUGUAUUGAGCGCGAGAAUGGUAUGAUCUCUUCACGUGGCGGUGUCCAUAUAUAUUCAGCGGACAUUCAGAAACCGAUAUAUCUCACCUUGUUUGUUCAAGGUGGCUGGGUCAUGGAGAAGGGCCCCAUUCUUGCUUUGAAUCUUUAUUCUAAUGAUCAUGUCUCAUCGUUCUGGAUGGUUCACCAGAAAAGUAAAAGGAGAUUGCGAGUGAGUAUUGAACGUGACAUGGGAGGGACCACUGCGGCACCCAAAAUCAUAAGGUUUUUUGUUCCUUAUUGGAUCAUUAAUGAUUCUUCUAUUCCUUUGGCGUACCGAGUGGUGGAAGUGGAGCCUUUGGACAAUGCAGAUCCAGAUUCCCCGAUUGUUUCUAGAGCAGUCAAGUCUGCAAAAACAGCCUUAAAAAGUCCUACAUACUCUAUGGAAAGGAAGCAUUCUGUUGCAAGGAGAAACAUUCAAGUACUUGAUGUUAUUGAGGAUACUAGUCCUGUUCCUAACAUGCUUUCUACGCAAGACUACACAAGCCGCAGUGGUGCUAUGCUGUUUUCAUCUCAGAAAGAUGUGUAUCCGUCCUCUCGAGUUGGCCUCUCUGUUGCAAUUUGCCAUUCAGAAGUCUACAGUUCUGGAAUUUCCCUUCAUGAGCUCGAAAAGAAGGAACGGCUUGAUGUAAAAGCAUUCAGUUCAGAUGGAUCUUAUUACAUGCUAUCAGCGCGGUUGAACAUGACCUCGGACAGAACAAAGGUUGUGCACUUCCAACCCCACACAUUGUUCGUGAAUAGAGUUGGUUACAGCCUGUGCUUGCAGCAGUGUGAUUCUCAGGCAGUGACAUGGAUUCAUCCCACUGAUUCUCCAAAACCCUUCUGUUGGCAGUCUGGUUCCAAAGUUGAAAGGUUGAAGCUGCGGGUGGAUGGUUACAAAUGGAGUACACCAUUUAGUGUUUGUAAUGAAGGUAUCAUGCGUGUUUGCUUGAGGAAAGAUACUGGAAAUGAUCAACUGCUGUUACGAGUUGGAGUGAGAAGUGGAGCAAAGAACUCAAGCCUAGAAGUUAUUUUCCGUCCGAACUCUAUCUUGAGUCCUUACAGGAUUGAAAAUCGUUCCAUGUUUUUACCCAUUCGUAUUCGGCAAGUGGAUGGAACCUCUGAUUCAUGGACCUUUCUUCUUCCUAAUUCAGCAACUUCCUUUUUAUGGGAAGAUCUUGGUAGAAGACGACUAUUAGAAAUGCUGGUAGAGGGGGCAGACCCAUUGAAAUCAGAGAUUUAUGAUAUUGAUGAGAUAUCUGAUCAUCAACCAAUUAAAGUGGGAAGUGGACCCUCUAAAGCUCUGCGUGUUACCAUAAUUAAAGAAGAUAAAGUUAAUGUUAUCAAGAUCAGUGACUGGAUGCCAGAGAGUGAACCUACUGGAAACUUGAGUAGAAGGCAUUCGUCAUCCCUCUCUCAGCUUUCAAAACAGCAACAAACAGCAUCGACCUCUGAUUGUGAAUUUCAUAUUAUUGUUGAGUUAGCUGAGCUUGGGAUAUCCCUUAUUGACCAUACACCUGAAGAAAUACUGUACCUUUCGAUUCAGAAUCUUCUUUUUGCAUAUUCAACUGGCUUGGGCUCUGGUGUCAGUAGGUUAAAACUUAGAAUGCGUGGGAUACAAUUGGACAACCAAUUGCCACUAACCCCAAUGCCAGUUCUCUUUAGGCCACAAAGAGUUGGAGAGGAGAUUGACUAUAUGUUGAAAUUUUCCGUCACAAUGCAAUCCAAUGGGUCACUGGAUCUUUGUGUCUAUCCGUAUAUUGGUCUCCAUGGACCUGAGAAUUCUGCCUUUUUGAUAAACAUUCAUGAACCUAUUAUUUGGCGCCUUCAUGAAAUGAUUCAGCAGGUCAACAUUAGUCGGUUGUAUGAUACUCAAACAACUGCUGUUUCUGUUGAUCCAAUCGUUGAAAUUGGGGUUCUUAACAUAUCAGAGGUUCGAUUCAAAAUGUCAAUGACUAUGUCCCCUAGUCAGCGGCCAAGAGGUGUUCUUGGAUUUUGGGCAUCGUUAAUGACUGCAUUAGGGAACACUGAGAAUAUGGCAGUGAGGAUAAAUCAAAGGUUUCUUGAAAACGUGUGCAUGAGGCAGAGUUCCAUGAUUAGUAUUGCCAUUUCAAACAUUCAAAAGGAUCUUUUAGGCCAGCCUUUACAACUGCUAUCAGGUGUCGAUAUACUGGGUAACGCAAGUAGUGCACUUGGACAUAUGAGCAGGGGUGUGGCUGCCUUGUCAUUUGAUAAGAAGUUCAUUCAAAGCCGACAAAAACAGGAAAGCAAGGGUGUAGAGGACUUGGGUGAUGUUAUUAGAGAAGGUGGUGGAGCAUUGGCAAAAGGGUUCUUCAGAGGGGUCACUGGCAUAUUGACAAAACCACUUGAGGGUGCUAAAUCUUCUGGCGUCGAGGGAUUUGUUCAAGGUGUUGGGAAAGGAUUAAUUGGUGCAGCUGCACAACCGGUGAGCGGGGUUCUGGAUCUUUUGUCAAAGACUACUGAAGGUGCUAAUGCAAUGAGAAUGAAGAUAGCAGCAGCUAUAACUUCUGAAGACCAACUCCUUCGUAGGCGACUGCCGCGUGUCAUUAGCGGUGAUAAUUUACUUAAACCAUAUGAGGAUUACAAAGCACAAGGACAGGUUAUAUUGCAGCUGGCAGAAUCAGGUUCAUUUUUUCUCCAGGUUGAUCUAUUUAAAGUACGUGGAAAGUUUGCGUUAUCUGAUGCCUAUGAAGAUCACUUUUUAAUCCGCAAAGGAAAAGUUCUUAUGGUCACUCACCGAAGAGUGCUACUGCUGCAACAACCCUUCAACACUAUUUCUCAAAAGAAGUUCAACCCAGCUAGGGAUCCCUGUUCGGUAUUGUGGGAUGUACUUUGGGAUGACCUGGUGACAAUGGAACUGGCAUUUGGAAAAAAAGACCACCCAAAAGCUCCACAUUCGCAGCUCAUUCUUUAUUUACGUGAUAGAUCGACUGAGAUGAGGGAGCAAACUCGUGUAAUAAAGUGCAUCCGUGACAGGCCCCAGGCUUUUGAAGUGUACACCUCAAUUGAACGAGCAAUGAGCAUUUAUGGACCACACAAAACAAAGGAAAGGUCCAUAAAGAGUGUGACAAAGCCAUAUUCACCGCUUGCUAACAGCACCGGUGCUGAAGUUAAUCCAAAAGAAGGGCUUAGCGCUUUGUCACCCCGACCAAUGCCGCUUCCUCCUAGUUCCAUCUUUGGCAGAAAUAUGCCUAGAGGAGUUCCUGGAUCUGGAAAGCCUGGAAUUACUUAUGAUGAGCAAAAUGCUGCAAGGGAGUUUGCAAAUAUGGCUUGUUCAUCUGAAGACUUUCCACCUCAGAUGGUUGAAGAUGAAAAUUUCGGACGCUUUCUACAGACGCUGAACCCACAGUUCAAGCUCAGUUUCAAGAAGGUGGGGACUGAAUGCAUGAAAGUUUACAAGGAAAGGAAAGAAGAAACCAAGAAAUUCCUGGUGAACUUUGAUGGAAGGAUUAGCCUCUCCAUGGACAUACUGAGGCACGAAAGUGGCCGUUGGGAUACAUUUAAUUGUGAGGAUUACUUAUGCCUUUAUGCACACUUUAUUGAUGAGAAUUGGAAACUGAAGAAGUGGGUUCUUAAUUUCCGGUCUCUUUGGGGUUCUUGUGAGUCUGAUGAUUACAUUCCUGAAGGUGAUGAUGGGGGCAUGUUUAAGUUGCUUCAAGAUUGGGGAAUUGAGAACAAGAUAUCCACUUUCACUAGGAAUGAUGAGGAUUCCGAUGAUUCAUUAGUUAAGUGUGUGAAAAGUCACAUCCAAGACAAGAAUCUCCAACUCAAUGGUCAGCUGUUUCGUGUGCAUUGUCUUGCGGACAUGAUCAAGACAAUGGUGGAGGAUGUGUUUGAAAUGAUUAAAGAUAUCAUUGACAAAGUUCGUGAGCUGUAUUCUUUUGGGAGGUCAUUACCGCUGUGGUAUCUCACAACUUCCCACCUAAAAGGAGCUCUGCAGCUAUGGACUAUGGGAGAAUUCUCUUCAGAAGAUGUGAUCAAUAGUUAUAAUGUACCACCCCCUGAGGAAUGGAAGAAAGUUGAAGGUGUUUGUUUGAUUGUUGACAAGAUAUAUGAAGUAUUAAAUGUAUUGUUUGAAACAAAGCAUCUGACAUCUAAUAUUUAUCUCUAUCACCUUGAUGAGCUUCGUGAAAUUCUGACGCAAUUUUCCACCGACUCUUGUGAGUUCGUUGCAACAUUAGCCAAGGACAUGUUGAAGAAGUUUGACAAGUACUGGGAUGACAUGUUCUUUCUGUUGGCCAUAUCUGCAGUGCUGGAUCCUCGGUUUAAGAUGAAAUACAUAGACUUUGUUUGUUCAAAAGUCAAGGGUAUGGAAGGAAACUCACAAGCUGCGGCUGUUUUUGUGGCUAUGAACAAACUGUUUGAUGAAUAUGAGAUUCGCUUCCCUGAGAAAGAUAAAUUUAUAAGUGAACCUGCUUCUGAUUCUGAUUCUGAUUCUGAUUAUGAUUCAGAAGGAGAGGUCCCUGCUGCUGGAAAUGCAAAUUAUACCUUUAGUGUGAUGAAGAAGUAUGAAGAAUUCCUCCAGUUAAGUGAUCUACCUGCAAAGAAAACAGACUUGCAUUGCUAUCUGGAACAGCCUGUCUUACCUUGGAGUCAGGAUUUCGAUGCCUUGACUUGGUGGAGCACCGCUGGUGCUAAGUAUCCUACCCUUUCCAGGAUGGCACGUGAUUUCUUGGCUAUUCCUGUUUCUGUUGCCUCUUCAUUUGAGGCGUUUUAUACUGAAGCAAGGCCAGCUGAUGCACGUGUUGUUUGCUUGAAGCCAGAGUUGAUGAAUGCCUUAGUGUGUUCUCGAAGCUGUGUGGAGGCAGAUACAUUUUUGGCCUGGUGCUCUUGCAGCUUAUUAACAUCUCUCUUCUUGGAGGCUCUGGGUAUCAAAUUCGUUGAAGUAUGGACAGUUUGUCAGGAUGAUCAAGUUGAUUACCCUUUCAGAGAACUGGCUUCAGAGGCUGAGCUUGAGACUUGGUUCAUUAUUGGUCCAGAGGAUGAGAAUGAGGCAAUACCUGUGCUUGAGGUGGAUGUUAUCCAGUUGCAACGCGAGCAUCAAACUUUGGUUACUGAUGCUCAGUUCCACCAUUGGGCUGUUCUGGAUUUGAAUGACCGUCACCAGGUGGCGGUCCUCCAAAACCCGGUGACGGUCCUCCAAAACCCGGUGGCGGUCCUCAACGGCCACCAGGUUCUUGAGGACCGCCACCAGUUCUUAUGGACCGCCACCAGGUUCUUGAGGACCACCACCAGGUUUUGGAGGACCGCCAUCACGUUUUGGAGAACCGCCAUCAGGUUUUGGAAGACCGCAAUGAGGAGAUGGCUGAUGAACAUCGCUGCCUUUAAGUACAUCAGCAUUGGUCUUCUGUUCAUCUUGUUACUGGAGCGCAUUUCCCAUUUUGAUGUUCAUAUAUCCGGUUCACUUGUGGUUGUGGUGUCAUUGUCGUCGUCACCGAUGCUCGCCGGGUUUGUUCCUGAAAAUCGGAGCAGCUCCGUCGCACACGGCGCAGGCGAAAAUCCCACGGUUUCAGAAGCCUCCCUUACCGUCGCCGAAGCCAGGGAACACGAGCCGCUUCACCAUCGCGCCGGUGGCGACGACGACGGUGUAGGCCUCAACGGUUUUCGCAUCGGUGUAGAUCUUAAACGGCGUCUAAGUCCCGACCACGACGACUGGCUCCGACAGCAAUCCAUGAGCUCCAUGCCGAGGAUCCCAUCCGAAAACCCCGGGAAAUUCUCGACGUCGGAGGUGGUGGUGAGCUGGCCGUCGGGGUUGGUAGCGGUGAUCUUCUGCCUUGGGUGCAGAAAUCAGUUGAAUAUCAAUCUCAAUUUCUUCCCCGGUGAGAGUACUCUUCAUCUUGAACAUAGUUCCUCCCCUGAGCCUCAACACCAGGUGAAGAGUCGACUCCUUUUGGAUGUUGUAAUCCGCAAGAGUUCUGCCAUCUUCCAGUUGCUUGCCAGCAAAGAUCAGUCUCUGUUGAUCUGGAGGGAUGCCUUCUUUGUCCUGGAUCUUGGCUUUGACAUUGUCGAUGGUAUCACUACUCUCGACCUCAAUAGUGAUGGUCUUCCCGAAAUGUCAUCAAGUGAUUAUGAGCAAGAGGAAAUAAAUCAAAACAUGGAGAGGGCACUUGCAGAGUUAAUGUCCGAUCCAGAUAUGCCACCUAACUUUGUUCAUGGCGUUGGAUUUAGACAAUUUAUGGAGGUGCUAAACCCGCAGUUUAAGCCUAAUUUCAAAAAUGAUGGUAGUGAAUUCUGUCAGGUCUAUAAGGAAAGGAAAGCGGGAGUUAAGGACUUCUUGGGAAAGUUUGAUGGAAUGAUUAGCCUCUCCGUGGACAUACUGAGGUAUGAAAACCCUGCAAAUGGCUACUGUGCUGAUGAUUACUUGUGUCUCUCUGCUCAUUUUUUUGAUGAGGAUUGGAAACUACAAAAGUGGGUGCUUCAUUCUCGUGCUCUCAUGCUCAAGGAUGAUUUGAGUGCUUCUGAUGUUCUUCAUGACGAUGAUGAUUGGGGUGCUUUUCGGUGGCUUGAGGAGUAUGGCAUUGAGAAGAAGAUAUUCACAUUCUCUAUGAUUCAGAAUGAUGUUGGCUAUGAUCAAUUGGUUGAGUGCGUGAAGAAUCACAUCCAAGAAAAGAUGGGAAUUCAACUUGAUGAUCAGUUGUUUCAUGUGUUUUGUUUUGAGGAAAUGAUAGCCAAUAUGGUGCAGGGUGCAUUUCACAGGAUUAAAGGUAUAAUUAACAAACUAUCUUUCUUGAGUAGUUUUGUAUCUAUAGCUCCUGUGUGGAAUGUGACAAAUUCCCAUCUAAAAGAAGCUCUGGAGUUAUGGUCAGCGGGAGAAUACUCUUCAGCUGACACUGAUGAUGUACCCACUCUUGAGGAAUGGAAGAAAGUUGAAGGAAUUUGUAAGAUCGUAGACAGCAUAUAUGAAGUGUCAAAUGCUUUAUUUCAAGCAAAGCAUCAAACUACUAAUGUUUAUCUUUAUCACCUACAUGAGCUUCAUGAAAUUCUGACCCAAGCAUCGGUUGACUCUGAUAAUACAAUAGCUAGGGGUAUGUUGAAAGCUUGUGACAGGUAUUGGGAUAAAAUGUUUUUGCUGUUGGGAAUAUCCGCAGCUUUGGAUCCUCGGUUCAAGAUGAAAUACGUUGAAUUUGCUUGUUCCAAAGUUAAGGGUGCAGAUGGAAGCUCACAAGCUGCAGCUGUUUUAGGGGCCAUUGAGAAACUGUUUGAUGAAUAUGCACUCCGCUUUUCUGAAAAAGUGAACUGUACAAGCGAGUCAUCUGCUUCUGUAUCUGAUUCUGAAGGGGCUAGUCCGAGACAUGUGAAUCAUACUUUUAGUGUGUUACAAGACUUCGAGAAGUUCACUCAAUUGAAAGGCUAUCUGGAAGAACCAGUGUUACCUUGGAGUAAGGAUUUUGAUGCAUUGGCUUGGUGGAGCACUGCAGGCACCAAGUAUCCUAUCCUCUGUAAGAUUGCACGUGAUUUCUUGGCCAUUCCAGUGAUGCUUGCAACUUCACAUCAGGCAUUCUAUAUGUCUAGGGUUUCAUUAAGUGAUGCUGAGCGAGAGGAAGGAUUUCAAAGGGCACUUGCAAAGUUGAUUUCUAAUCCACGUAUUCCACCUAACUUUGUUCAUGGCAUUGGAGAAAUUAUGGAGUCACUUAACCUGAAUUUUAAGCCUAAUGUCAAAAAGGUGGCAACUGAAUUCUGGAAAAUCUAUAGAGAAAGGAAAGCAGGAGUUAAGGACUUUCUGGAAAAAUUUGAUGGAAUGAUUAGCCUCUCGGUGGAAAUACUGAGGCAUGAAAAUCCAAGUAAGGGCUUUUGUGUUGAUGAUUACUUGUGCCUCUCUGCUCAUUUUGUUGAUGAGAAUUGGAAACCGCAAAAAUGGGUGCUUCACUUUCGUGCUCUUGAGCUUAAGGAGGAUUUGAGUCCAUCCGAUUUUCUUCACGACGAUGAUGAUUGGGGUGUUUUUAGGUGGCUUGAGGAGUUUGGCAUUGAGAAGAAGAUAUCCACCCUCUGUAUGGUUAAUGAUGAUGUUGGCUAUGAUCAAUUGGUUGGUUUUGGACCUAUAACUCGUGUAUGGAAUGUGACAAAUUUCCAUCUAAAACAAGCUCUGGAGUUAUGGUCAGCGGGAGAGUACUCUUCAGCGGACACUGAUUUUGUACCCACCCCUGAGGAAUGGAAGAAAGUUGAAGCAGUGUCUGUUUUGGGGGCCAUUGACAAACUAUUUGAUGAAUAUGCAUUCCGCUUUUCUGAAAAAGUGAACUGUACAAGCGAGUCAUCUGCUUCUGUGUCUGAUUCUAAAGGGGCUAGUCCGAGACAUGUGAAUCAUACUUUUAGUGUGUUACAAGACUUCGAGAAGUUCACUCAAUUGAAAGGCUAUCUGGAAGAACCAGUGUUACCUUGGAGUAAGGAUUUUGAUGCGUUGGCUUGGUGGAGCACUGCAGGCACCAAGUAUCCUAUUCUUUGUAAGAUUGCACGUGAUUUCUUGGCCAUUCCAGUCAUGCUUGCAACUUCACAUCAGGCAUCUUUACCGGAGCAAGGCCAGUUGAUCGAAAUGCGGUACAAACAUGUUAGUGACGGUACUGAGUUUGAUGAGAGGGACCAUGUUGUAUGCCUCUAUGCACAUUUUAUUGAUCAGAAUUGGAAACUGAGAAAGUGGGCAGUUGACUAUUUUAAUGCAGAUAGCUCAGCUUUCCAUGAAGAAUGGGUCUUUGGCAACAAGAAAUUUACACUCAUUUUAAGUGACACAGUCUGUGAUGUUCCCUCUGAAUUGACUCCUGAUGUGGAAACUCGCAUCGAAGAACACAAGCUGUUUAUUUGUUGCAGUAAAACUGUCAGUGUAAUGGUUCAGGAUGCAUUCAACAGGAUUGAAGACAUCAAUGUCGGAGUUCUUGAUUUGUAUUCUACACAACCAAAGAUACCCUCAUGGCAUUUCAAACAUUCUGAGUUAAAACAGGCUGUGAAAUUAUGGUCUAGGAGAAAAGCCACUUCAGGAGGUGCUGAUUGUUAUGACGUACCAUCCCUUGAGAUAUGGAAGAAAGUGGAAAGUCUUUACAAAAUCUUGAUCCAGUAUACUAAACACUCAGAUGGUUUUAUUAAGGAAGUGUCCAAGUGCAUGCUGAAAAAGUUCAUGAGAUCCUAUUGGAAAAGAAUGUUCAUAUGGUUGGCAAUAACUGCAGCACUGGAUCCUAGAUUUAAGAUGAAAUAUGUAGAAUUUAUUUGUUCGCAAGAGCCUAAGGACAGAAUCUUAAGUGGUGCCGCUGUUUUUGAAGUCAUUGAGGAGAAGUUUAGCGAAUAUGUAAUCCGCUUUCCUGAAAAAGAGGGAUCCAUCAGUGAUUCAUCUCCUAGUUCUCUUCAACAUGUGAAUCAAAAUUUUAGUGUGUUGCAAGAUUACCACCAGUUCAUUCAAAACCAAUCAGACUUGGUUCGCUAUUUUGGAGAACCUGUGUUACCUUGGAGUCAGGACUUUGAUGUAUUAACCUGGUGGAGUACUGCAAGCCUCAAGUAUCCAACUCUUACCAGGAUGGCACGGGAUUUUUUGGCUGUACCACUCUCUACUGCAACUUCAUAUGAAGCAUUCUAUACUAAACCAAAGCCAGUUGAUGAACAAUUGGUUGGCCUGAAGCAAGACUUGAUGCACGCCAUAAUGAUUGAGCAGAGCUUCGAUCAAUUGGGAAUGAAUGAAAAAAGACAAAGCUCCGGGGAGCGUAUGUCUGGGGUUCCUGAUGCUGAUGAAGCUAUUGGUUGUGGAAUUAAUGGAGUGGAUCAUGAAAAUGACAGCAAUGUUAUGGUGUUUGAAUAUGAUCAUGAGCAAAGAGAUCUGAAGGCUCUUGCGGAGUUGAUUUGCUCUGGAGAAAUUCAACCUGAGAUGGUUGAAAAUAUUGAUCUAAGGAAGUUCUUUAAUAUGAGUGCCCCGCCGUUUAAGCCUAGUUUUGAUAGGGUAGAAAGUGAGUGCAUGAGAGUGUAUGAGGAGAGGAAACUGGAAAUUAAAGAGUUUUUAGCUGAUUUCAGUGGGCAGAUUAGCCUCUCGGUGGACAGAUUGAAUUUUAUUGACAAGAACUGGAAAGCGAGGAAAUGGGUGUUUUAUUGCCAUAGUUUAUCAAAUCCACUUGAUGAUUUCCUCAAGGUGCUUGAAGGUUGGGGAUUUGGGAACAAGGUAUCCACAGUAACAAUGACAAAUGCUGAUCAUGGGGACUGCCCUUGCCCUGAAUUGAUUGAGUUUGUGAAAACUCACAUCCAAGAAAAGAAGAGACUUGAAGUAAGCCGUCAGCUGUUUCAGGUGUAUUGUUGUGGGGAAAUGAUCAGUCUAAUGGUGCAGGAUGCAUUUGACAAGAUCAAGGACAGUAUAGACAAAGUUCUCAAUUUGUAUUCUACAAAAUCAUUACCCUUGUGGUAUCUUACCAACUCCAAGCUAAAGCAUGCUGUUGAAUUAUGGUAUGAGGGAGAGUUUUCUUCAAAAUAUGUGACUGAGUCAAAUGAAGUACCAUCCCCUGAAGAAUGGGAAAAAGUUGAAGGUGUUUGUAAGAUUGUUGACAGCAUUUAUGAAGUAUCAAGUGCUUUAUUUGAAUCAAAGCCCUUAACAGCUAAUGUCUUCCUUUAUCACCUGCAUGAGCUUCGAGAUGUUCUGACCCAAAUAUCUACAACUGACUCCGAUAGUUUCAGUAGAACAAUAGUUGAAGGCAUGCUCAAAAGGUUUGAUAAGUAUUGGAAUGACAUGUUCAUGUUGUUGGCAAUAGCUUCAGCCUUGGAUCCUCGACUGAAAUUGAAAUAUGUAGAAUUUGUUUCUACAAGAUUAAAUGGUACGGAAGGAAGCUUACAAGUUGCAGAUGUUUUGGGGGCCAUUCACAAACUCUAUGAUGACUAUCUGAUCCGUUUUCCUAUUAAGGAGAACUUCAUGUGUUAUUCAUCUUGUUCCGGUCCAGAUACUGAAAUGGAGGUUUCUCCUCCCAAACAAGUGAAGCAUACUCUUAAUGUGUUGCAAGACUACCACAUGUUCAUCAAAUUGGGUAUCAAGCCUACAAAGAAAUCAGACUUGGAUUGCUAUCUCGAAGAACCUGUGAUAAAUGGUAGUCCAGAUUUUGAUGUACUGACUUGGUGGAGCACUGCUGAUGCCAAGUAUCCUACUCUAUCUAGGAUGGCACAGGAUUUCUUGGCCAUUCCAGUUUCUCUGGCAACUUCAUGUGAAGCAUUUUACACUAAACUAAGGCCAGCUGAUGAAAGUUUAGUUAGCUUGAAGCCUGACUUGAUGAAUGCCUUAGUGUGCACUCGUAGCUGGUCUAGUAAGCACUGA